GAGAAACCCAAAAGAUCGAAUGGGGAGAUUCAUCGUCAGCGGCUUUGGCUUCCGUGCGGCUUGCGAUGGCGCUGGACUUCGGUUCAGCGUCACGCUGUCGCUGCGGCAUGUCCGGAGUCGUCGGCGUGCACUUCUCCCCUAGUAGGACGUCGCGACCCGUUGGGUGUCGGACCGAUGGCCGGUCGGUCGUCUGUUGCGCUCACGCGCUUCAGACCGAUUCGGUCGAAAGUCCGGCUGCCCGGCGGUAUUGAACGAUAUGACAUGGUAUCGGGCCGCAUCGAAUGCGUUCCUGGCUCGUCGGCGGCAGGCUCGUCUCGCUCGGAUUUACGGACCUGGUGCCGUUGCCGGGCGCUUGGCGUGGCUGUUAGUCGACGAUGUCCUCGGACUGGCUCUUACCCGUCGGCGACGCUACUGCUUUGGGUACUUUC
rnacentral:rRNA from 1 species